rnacentral:rRNA from 1 species
AUUCCUACGGGACGCAGCAGUGAGGAAUAUUGGUCAAUGGCCGCAGGGCUGAACCAGCCAAGUCGCGUGAGGGAUGACGGUCCUAUGGAUUGUAAACCUCUUUUGUCAGGGAGCAAAGGGCGCCACGUGUGGCGUUUUGCGAGUACCUGAAGAAGAAGCAUCGGCUAACUCCGUGCCAGCAGCCGCGGUAAUACGGAGGAUGCGAGCGUUAUCCGGAUUUAUUGGGUUUAAAGGGUGCGCAGGCGGAAUGUCAAGUCAGCGGUAAAAUUUCGGGGCUCAACCCGUCCGGCCGUUGAAACUGGGGG